rnacentral:rRNA from 1 species
GCAACGGAUAUCUCGGCUCACGCAUCGAUGAAGAACGUAGCAAAAUGCGAUACUUGGUGUGAAUUGCAGAAUCCCGUGAACCAUCGAGUUUUUGAACGCAAGUUGCGCCCAAAGCCAUACGGCUSAGGGCACGCCUGCCUGGGCGUCACGCAUCGCGUCGCU